UACAGAGGGUGCGAGCGUUAAUCGGAAUUACUGGGCGUAAAGCGCACGUAGGUGGCGACGUAAGUCGGGUGUGAAAGCCCCUGGCUCAACUGGGGAGGGUCACGCGAUACUGUUCGACUCGAAGGCAGGAGAGGGAAGUGGAAUUCCCGGUGUAGUGGUGAAAUGCGUAGAUAUCGGGAGGAACACCAGUGGCGAAGGCGACUUCCUGGCCUGUUCUUGACGCUGAGGCGCGAAAGCUAGGGUAGCAAACGGGGAUUAAGA
rnacentral:rRNA from 1 species